rnacentral:tRNA from 1 species
GCGACCAUGGUGGAAUUGGUAGACACGCUAUCUUGAGGGGGUAGUGCGCUUCGCGUGUGCGAGUUCAAAUCUCGCUGGUCGCACCA